UGGGGAAUUUUGGACAAUGGGCGAAAGCCUGAUCCAGCAAUGCCGCGUGUGUGAAGAAGGCCUUCGGGUUGUAAAGCACUUUUGUCCGGAAAGAAAUCCUUGGCUCUAAUACAGUCGGGGGAUGACGGUACCGGAAGAAUAAGCACCGGCUAACUACGUGCCAGCAGCCGCGGUAAUACGUAGGGUGCAAGCGUUAAUCGGAAUUACUGGGCGUAAAGCGUGCGCAGGCGGUUUGCUAAGACCGAUGUGAAAUCCCCGGGCUCAACCUGGGAACUGCAUUGGUGACUGGCAGGCUAGAGUAUGGCAGAGGGGGGUAAAAUUCCACGUGUAGCAGUGAAAUGCGUAGAGAUGUGGAGGAAUACCGAUGGCGAAGGCAGCCCCCUGGGCCAAUACUGACGCUCAUGCACGAAAGCGUGGGGAGCAAACAGGAUUAGAUACCCUGGUAGUCCACGCCCUAAACGAUGU
rnacentral:rRNA from 1 species